rnacentral:lncRNA from 1 species
GUGGAUCCAGGUACUGGCACAACCAGGAGUCCUGAGCUGGGGUGGGGGGAAGGGGCUGCAGGGCAGCACUGGGGUGAUGCUGCAGGAGCACUGCAUGGCUCUACUCCUCAAUGGUCUGCACUGCUUGGAGGCCUGGGGUGCUAAGGGUGGGGUAGCCAUGACUGCAGGAUUGAACAGCGAAUACUUUAAAGGUAUAGAAGCACUGCAAGGACCAGAAAGGCUAUGCAAUAUCCCUUAGUUCUUUCAGCUUACCAGAGGCC